rnacentral:rRNA from 1 species
AUUGAACGCUGGCGGCAGGCUUAACACAUGCAAGUCGAGCGGGGUGAUGGUGCUUGCACUAUCACUUAGCGGCGGACGGGUGAGUAAUGCUUAGGAAUCUGCCUAUUAGUGGGGGACAACAUCUCGAAAGGGAUGCUAAUACCGCAUACGUCCUACGGGAGAAAGCAGGGGAUCACUUGUGACCUUGCGCUAAUAGAUGAGCCUAAGUCGGAUUAGCUAGUUGGUGGGGUAAAGGCCUACCAAGGCGACGAUCUGUAGCGGGUCUGAGAGGAUGAUCCGCCACACUGGGACUGAGACACGGCCCAGAAUCCUACGGGAGGCAGCAGUGGGGAAUAUUGGACAAUGGGGGGAACCCUGAUCCAGCCAUGCCGCGUGUGUGAAGAAGGCCUUAUGGUUGUAAAGCACUUUAAGCGAGGAGGAGGCUCUUUUGGUUAAUACCCAAGAUGAGUGGACGUUACUCGCAGAAUAAGCGCCGGCUAACUCUGUGCCAGCAGCCGCCGUAA